AUACGGAGGGUGCAAGCGUUAAUCGGAAUUACUGGGCGUAAAGCGCGCGUAGGCGGCUUAUUAAGUCAGAUGUGAAAUCCCCGGGCUCAACCUGGGAACUGCAUCUGAUACUGGUAAGCUAGAGUUUGGGAGAGGGAAGUAGAAUUGCAGGUGUAGCGGUGAAAUGCAUAGAGAUCUGAAGGAAUACCAGUGGCGAAGGCGACUUCCUGGCCUAAAACUGACGCUGAGGUGCGAAAGCGUGGGUAGCAAACGGGAUUAGAAACCCCAGUAGUCC
rnacentral:rRNA from 1 species